rnacentral:lncRNA from 1 species
CUACUGUAGGUGGCUCAACGGAAGCCAGCACUAACCCGCCAAUCAUGGACACACAUGGGCACUCGCGAAAGACAGCGGUUUAGACCAGGGGUCCCCAAACUUGUUGGUUGGCCAGG